rnacentral:miRNA from 1 species
AACAUCUUCUUACCAAAAAGUGCAAAGAUAAGGAGAUACGUUCUGCGCAUGCGCGGCGCUAUCUCCUUAAAUACGCAUAAUUUGUUAAAAGGAUAUUAAGCAAAGUUGUAGCCCUCAUCAAGACGAACAACUUUUGUUAACAUCUUCUUACCAAAAAGUGCAAAGGUAAGGAGAUACGUUCUGCGCAUGCGCAGCGCUAUCUCCUUAAAUACGCAUAAUUUGUUAAAAGGAUAUU